UUCUUGAGAGUAGGUAUGCCGACCUUUACUUGAUUUAUUUGACCCCCAAAAAGAUUUGGAAAAGAGAAACGAUAGGAUAGAGGCGAGAGUAUAGUUUAAGAAAAAGAAGCACCAGCCAAUAGGAACUAUACUCCUCCGGCAAAAGACUGUCGCAUCCGGAAUAGAAUCAAAUGCUCAACUACUAAGAAAAUAGACUGUGAUCCGCGAUAUUAAAACCGAUCCAAAUGGCGCGACCAACCACCUGAGUUGAAUCCAGCGACACCCGAAUCCGGCCCAAUAUUUUGGUUUCGGCGGAUCAUAGCUUAAUUAUCCAUGAAUCCUCGUCCAGCGAAAGCGUUACACCAAUCGUAGCACCACUAGGAGGAAUUUGCGCUUGUGCAUUGUG
rnacentral:sRNA from 1 species